UUAAUCCCGCUCUCAUUGUUAAAGAUGGGGUUGUUGGGAGCCAUAGGCUUUUCUUUAGCUUUGAUAACUCUAACUCAGACACAUGAAGGUGCAGAAGGGUGCAAAAUCUUGUCAGCAAGUGCCUCAAAUGCAUCAUCAAUUCUAGUAAAAUGGGAAAAGCAUGCUGGAGCGACCAGUUAUAUUUUGGAGCUUCGAGAGAAAAACUCUCCACAGUCUGCACCGAUUACAGCGCCCAUAUUCGGACACCAGACUGAAAGGAACGUCUAUGGUCUAAAACCAGGAACUGAGUAUAAUGUGACUGUCAAAGCUUUUGUCUUCUUCAGUGUGGCGUGUGUGAAUUCAACCCUGGCUUCCACAGUGAUUUAAAGAAGAGAAAAGCACAUGAAGAUAUUACACAACAUAUUCAUCAUACACUACUACACCACAGGAAGAAAGUCGUGCUCCUAAAGGAACAAAUGUCAACCAGGAAUCAGUCAUGGAGCAAGAAAAUGAGAAAUGGUUUUGUUAAAUGAUUUUCAUGUGUUAAAUGAAAAAAACAAGUGUAACAGCAGUUCUUUCUGUGUGUUCUGCUCAAAAUAUAUCAGAAAGGGCAUGUGGUGGAAAAAUCUGCGUAACCACACAGGUGUAGCUACCUGCUGUAGCAGCUGCUUGUGAACAUGGGAGAGACCUCUUCUCUUUUUUAAAGUUUAAACCCAGGCAGGAGGCAUGUUGGUGAUGAAGUGCUAAUGAAGACACCGCUCUGUGAAUCUUUUCCUGAUCUGCCUGUUUGCUUUAAAUUCUCUUUGUGCUAUUUAUGAUUAUGAGAAUUAAAUUUUAAUUUUGUGCAGCAUGUGUGUAAAAAUGGUUUCCAGCAUCAAUUUGCAUUUGAGAGUAAAUAAUUAGUUCGUGUGUAAUUCUAUGGUAAUAAUUAUGCAAGAAAUAUCUUCUCAGUGACAACAUGUU